UGCGAGGAAAAGAGGCAUGGUCGUUCGAAGACGUGGGUUCCGUUGUUUAUGUUGAUCCGUGAUGAAUUCCGAAAGGCUGAAGAAACAAAAACUUUUUAUUCCUCAGUUAAGAGGAACGAUUGCGAAUAAAUAUAAAAAUAGAUUUGCAUUCGGAAUGUUGGGUGUAGGAACCAUCUUUGGAGUUAUCUGCGGCUGUUAUUGUUAUUUCUUGUUUCCUUCGAAAGUCGAGGUGGAUGUAAAAAAGUACAUGAUGGGUCUACCCGUACCGCCUCCCGGGAACUAUGAUAAUGAGCGAUAGCGAAAACGGCCGUAGAAAAUAUUUAAAAAAUUGUAAAUUAGUAAAAUAAACUUUUGUAAAUAGUAA